UGUGGUCCACGAAGACGGCAGACGGUGCAGAUGCUGGACGUCGCAGUGGACAGUCAGGAGGAUCUGAUCCCCUGGGUCGGCAAGAUCAGAGAGGCCACACAACGCAGACGCACGGAACUGUGUGUGUGCAGAUAAACCCAUGCAGCUGAACCAGGCUUCGUUCAUGCUCAGAGGAGGCAGCGGUUACGUCCCCCAGCCCGACAUCAUGAGGGAGGACACCUUGGACACUUUUGAGGACCGAUUACAAUCCAGCUACAGGUCAGACCGAAAUCAGACCUUUAGCUUACAUGUAUUUUCUUUGUUUCUUGAACCUUUAUGACACAACAGCCAUGACAGAGUCAUACAUGCAACUGGACAAUCGUGUUAACAACGAUCGAUACAGUUUGUAGAGCAAAAGGCAGUAAUACUUUGAGUUAAUUUAUCUAUUAAUUAAAGAACCACAGGUAAUGGGUUAGGAUUUUGAGUUUGAGUUGUGACUGAAGGUUGUUUCCAAGAGCAGGGAACAUCUCUGCUCAGACUGACUAUAUUUUAAAAUGAAGCAAAUAAUGAGACCUUUUAAGAAUGGAAGCUUCUGACUUAAAUAAGAAACUUGCCUAAAAAUAACUUCACAAAUCAAAGGUAAAACCAGUUAGGGCUGAAACAAUUGCUUGAUUGAUUGAUUAUUAAUUGAUUAUUAAAUGAAUCGCCAACUAUUUUUGUGUUUUUUAAAGAAUUAAAACCAGAAUCUCUGAUUUUUAAGCUUCUUAAAUGUGAAUAUUUUCUGGUUUCUUUGCUCCAUGUGACAAAUAAAUCAAAAACAAACAUCACCAUUUCCAGGUUUGAAAAACAUUGAUCAACAUUUUUCAACAUUUUCUAAACCAAAUGAUGACUCCUUAAAUUGAGAAUAUAACAGGCAGAUGAAUUGAUGAUGAAAGCAAGUGUUAGUUGCAGCCCUAAAACCAGCGGGAUGCUAAAAACAAGUGCAAGACGGACGUCGUGGGUAAGAAGACGACGACGGACGGCUGCUACAGCCACAACACUGCCCCCUGCUGUUUACACUCAUGUGGGAGUGCCACUAACAUCUGUUUUUUUCACCCUAACAGCCUGAAACUGGUGUGGGUGCAGGAGCAGUUUGCGUUCAACAUCCAUAAUCCUGCGCUUCAUUUUUCAUAUUUCACACCUCACAUCUGAACUGCACGACCGGGACCAGCUCCUCAUCAUCUGACAGCCGGAUCUGGAUCCGGAUCAUGAUUCUGGAUCAGGCCUUGAAGCGGUUUGGACGACUGCAUGGCUUCAUCUCUAAAUAACGUAGCGAUUUCUCAUUUUCUCUUUUUGUGUAUAAUUACUUUUAUUUAUCAUGCAGCAGGUGAAGGUGCAGAUCCUGUUGUAACAGAAGAAAAGACAACUGAAAGAUUUUACGUGAAGAAAUAAACAUUGUUUACUUGGA